CAAACUCACAACACUUAGUGAAAUUUUCGUUCCCUCCAAAGCUCAUUAUCCCCUUUCUGAAACUCACAACACUUGGUAAAUCACAGCGCCUUUAUCCCCUUUCUGGAACCACAUGAAUCACAGCGCCUUUGUUCCCUCCAAAGCUCAUCACUCAUCAUCGCGAAGAACCCUCGCUCAUCACCCAGUCACCACUCACCGCCAGUCACCACCCACCACUCACCACAUCGCUGUGCCGCUCACCGGCUCACCACUCACCAGCUCACACUCUCAUCCUCACUCAACACACACAAAAGAGGAAAAAAAAUCAGAAAAGUGGAGAAUGGGAAGAAGAAGAGAAGAAGAGGGGAGAGGGAAAGGAAGGAGAGGACGAUUUAUGCUUAGACCUUGUAAGCCUGGAAGCUACGACUAAGGAGAGUUCAACUUUUCAAAUGUGAAGAGAAUAGGGAAACUUUGUGGCAACAGUUCUGAUUUUGGCAUUGUGGUGGGAGGAUAAUAUUGAGGAUGAUGAUAAUGAAGAUUAAGUUGAUUAUUAUUGUGGUUUAUUGGCUAAGAUAGAGUAGUGUUGGGAAUGGAUACAUGUAUAGUUGACUAAUGACUUCUAUUAGAAGAUACUUAUGUAGGAUAUAAUAUUUUAGUUUUUUUAUAGAGUAUUAGUAGUAAAUUCUAAGGGAUAUCAUAGUUAUUUUGAUAUGGCUAUGUUUAUUUUAAUAUGAGAUGUAUGAAUAUUUAAAAUUAA